AAAAAGUUGAACAUCCCAACCUUGGACUUGAAAGUGUUUGAUGACUCAAAGACAGAAGUUGAUGAGCAGGUUUUUGAUCUCCUGUUGAAAACCCAAACCUUGGUGUGUUGGAAAUUUGUCUGGCCUAAGAUACAAAUCCAGAAGGUGAAGUUCUUCUUUUAAAUUGUAAUUUAUCUAUUCUGUUUUGAACGGUUUUGGGUAAAUUCCCCUUUGAUGCCUGAAUUUAUUUCCAAGGGAAAUAAUCUGAGUUUUUGCUUUCAAGUACAUGCUAAAUUAAGAACAUUUUUGAGCUGAAGAGUUAUGAUUGUAUAUUUGCAUCAAUAGGAGUCUGAGGGUUAAUGAUUUCUUUGACAGGAUAGUGUGGGGAACAAAAGACGGGCAAAUAAGUAUGAGUUUUUUAUCCUAUUGCUGUCUUAGACAAGAUAAUAAAUCUGCUAAACUGUUAAGUCGGUCAGUAUUUAAAAAUCUUUGUUUUUACUUUUUUUGUUUUUGCUAUCAUACUAAUUUAAAUAUUACAGUAACUGAAAGCUUUAAUACUUUGACAGAUCAGCUGAGUUGUCUUGCAUAGAGCUGCAAUACCAGUUCAAGUGGAGAUACUGAAGUGGACUCAGAUGACACCAUAAUAUUACAACACAGUCCUACAACAAGACAAAGACUUGAAGACACCUCUCUUGCCAAAGUGGUUGCUGUCAUUGGUGAGGAUGCAUCAUCCGUUGAAGGUCAUGUGAAUGUCCUGCAUAUCCAGUACAGCAAAGUGCGAGAGGAUAUACUAAAGAAUUACCCUUUCUUGAAGACAACCUCAGGGUUGUUUGAUGAUGUUGACCGAAUGCAUCCAUCACCUGUCAGUUUAAGCCAGCGCUUCAAGGACGGCGUUUACCAGUAUUGUGCCAAAGGUGCUUGAGCUUGUUCAAAGAAAAGCUCCAUUAGCCAAAGUCUCCAAAGAAGCAAGAGAAGAGAUGCUUGCAGAGGAUCUACUAGGUAUUGACAUAAACGUAAUCCUUGGUAAUCUUUUGUGUUUAUAGUUCUUCUUUUUAGAAUUCGCAUCAAUAUUA